rnacentral:rRNA from 1 species
GAUGAACGCUGGCGGCGUGCCUAAUACAUGCAAGUCGAACGAAGAGUAUUGACUUCGGUUAAACACUCUUAGUGGCGAACGGGUGAGUAACGCGUUGGUGACCUGCCCCGAAGUGGGGGACAACAGCUCGAAAGGGCUGCUAAUACCCCAUGUGGUGCCAGAGGUUAGAGGCUUUGGCAAGAAAGGAGUAAUCCGCUUCGGGAGGGGCCUGCGUCCCAUCAGCUAGUUGGUAGGGUAACGGCCUACCAAGGCGAAGACGGGUAGGGGGCCUGAGAGGGUGACCCCCCACAAUGGAACUGAAACACGGUCCAUACACCUACGGGUGGCAGCAGUAGGGAAUAUUGCACAAUGGGCGAAAGCCUGAUGCAGCAACGCCGCGUGUGCGAUGAAGGCCUUCGGGUUGUAAAGCACUUUUCGGGGAGAUGAGG